UACGUAGGGGGCAAGCGUUGUCCGGAAUUAUUGGGCGUAAAGCGCGCGCAGGCGGUUCUUUAAGUCUGGUGUCUAAGUGCGGGGCUCAACCCCGUGAUGCACUGGAAACUGGGGAACUUGAGUGCAGAAGAGGAGAGCGGAAUUCCACGUGUAGCGGUGAAAUGCGUAGAGAUGUGGAGGAACACCAGUGGCGAAGGCGGCUCUCUGGACUGUAACUGACACUGAGGGACGAAAGCUAGGGGAGCGAAAGGG
rnacentral:rRNA from 1 species